GCGGAUAAUAUAGAAUCAAAAAAAUGCAUUGAUCAUUACAUGGAAUUCUAUUAAGAUAUUAUAUGAAAGUCGAAUUUAUUCCACUCUCAUUUGAGAGUGCGAAUACAAGGAGGUAUUUUGUGUUUGGGAAAGUCCGAAGAAAAAAGAUUUUGAAUCUGCCUUUUCCUUCUUUCCCUUAAAAAAAUAACUCAAGAAAAAUCCAAUUAUUUACUCUACAAGAAUGAAAUGCUUGUUAUGCCUAAUAUACUUAGUUUAACCUGUAUCUGUUUUAAUUCUGUUCUUUAUCCUACUAGUUUUUUCUUUGCCAAAUUACCCGAAGCUUAUGCUAUUUUCAAUCCAAUCGUGGAUAUUAUGCCUGUUAUACCUCUAUUCUUUUUUCUAUUAGCCUUUGUUUGGCAAGCUGCUGUAAGUUUUCGAUGAAAUCUUUAGUACUCUGUAUGCCAAAUUGAAUGAUGUGUUCAUUCCAAAAAAAAAUUAAAAUGGGUAAAAGCCGAGAAGUUUUAUAUUUUUAUAUUAUGAACCUUCGAUUCUCAAAUUUAAAUUCUUCUACAUUGAAUGGGUAGCUACAGCAAUAAAUUUGGAUCAGCCUUUCUACUCCCCUGCACCUAGGUUGAGCAGGUACCUACACAAUACCUAACCACCUAACCCUAUUUUUGCUAUUGAUAAGAGUGCUUAUUAUAAAUGAAUUCUUGCAAUUUUUUUCAAGAAUUCAUUUUUUCAUUUUAGGUAUCAAAAAAAAACCAUCCUAGUGGAUCCGUGUGGUAAGGAAAAACUGGUAAUCUAUUCCUUAAAAAAAAUCUUGGAGAUUAUGUAAUGCUUACUCUCAAACUUUUUGUUUAUACAGUAGUGAUAUUCUUUGUUUCACUCUUUAUCUUUGGAUUCUUAUCUAAUGACCCAGGACGGAAUCCUGGACGCGAGGAGUAA
rnacentral:rRNA from 1 species